rnacentral:rRNA from 1 species
UACGUAGGGGGCGAGCGUUGUCCGGAAUUACUGGGCGUAAAGCGCACGUAGGCGGCUUUGCAAGUCAGAGGUGAAAGCCCGGGGCUCAACCCCGGAAUUGCCUUUGAGACUGCAUCGCUAGAAUUGUGGAGAGGUAAGUGGAAUUCCGAGUGUAGAGGUGAAAUUCGUAGAUAUUCGGAAGAACACCAGUGGCGAAGGCGACUUACUGGACACAUAUUGACGCUGAGGUGCGAAAGCGUGGGGAGCAAACAGG